rnacentral:rRNA from 1 species
AUGAACGCUGGCGGCGUGCUUAACACAUGCAAGUCGAACGAAGCACUUAAUGAGAUUUCUUCGGAUUGAUAUUUUGUGACUGAGUGGCGGACGGGUGAGUAACGCGUGGGUAACCUGCCCCAGACCGGGGGAUAACAGUCGGAAACGACUGCUAAUACCGCAUAAGCGCACGGCAUCGCAUGAUGCAGUGUGAAAAACUCCGGUGGUAUAAGAUGGACCCGCGUUGGAUUAGCUAGUUGGUGAGGUAACGGCCCACCAAGGCGACGAUCCAUAGCCGACCUGAGAGGGUGACCGGCCACAUUGGGACUGAGACACGGCCCAAACUCCUACGGGAGGCAGCAGUGGGGAAUAUUGCACAAUGGGCGAAAGCCUGAUGCAGCGACGCCGCGUGAGCGAAGAAGUAUUUCGGUAUGUAAAGCUCUAUCAGCAGGGAAGAUAAUGACGGUACCUGACUAAGAAGCACCGGCUAAAUACGUG